GGCGUUCCCUUCGGGGACAGAAUGACAGGUGGUGCAUGGUUGUCGUCAGCUAGUGUCGUGAGAUGUUGGGUUAAUCCCGCAACGAGCGCAACCCUUAUUACUAGUUGCCAGCAUUCAGUUGGGCACUCUAGUGAGACUGCCGGUGACAAACCGGAGGAAGGUGGGGACGACGUCAAAUCAUCAUGCCCCUUAUGACCUGGGCUACACACGUGCUACAAUGGAUGGUACAACGAGUCGCGAAACCGCGAGGUUUAGCUAAUCUCUUAAAACCAUUCUCAGUUCGGACUGUAGGCUGCAACUCGCCUACACGAAGUCGGAAUCGCUAGUAAUCGCGGAUCAGCAUGCCGCGGUGAAUACGUUCCCGGGCCUUGUACACACCGCCCGUCUCACCAUGAGAGUUUGUAACACCCAAAGCCGGUGG
rnacentral:rRNA from 1 species